UACGUAGGGGGCAAGCGUUGUCCGGAAUCAUUGGGCGUAAAGCGCGUGUAGGCGGCUCAGUAAGUCCGCUCUGAAAGCCCGGGGCUCAACCCCGGGAGGCGGGUGGAUACUGCUGAGCUCGAGUCCGGAAGAGGCGAGUGGAAUUCCUGGUGUAGCGGUGGAAUGCGCAGAUAUCAGGAGGAACACCAAUAGCGAAGGCAGCUCGCUGGGACGGUACUGACGCUAAGGCGCGAAAAGCGUGGGGAGCGAACAGG
rnacentral:rRNA from 1 species